GGAUUAGAUACCCUGGUAGUCCACGCCGUAAACGAUGCACACUAGGUCGGUGCGGUUUAGACGCCGUGCCGGCCGGAGAGAAAUUUUUAAGUGUGCCGCCUGGGGAGUACGGUCGCAAGGCUAAAACUCAAAGGAAUUGACGGGGGCUCACACAAGCGGUGGAGCAUGUUGCUUAAUUCGAAGCAACGCGAAGAACCUUACCUGGGCUUGACAUGCACGGAUUAGCUCUUGGAAACAUGAGUAACGCCCUCGGGUGGAACGUGCACAGGUGCUGCAUGGCUGUCGUCAGCUCGUGUCG
rnacentral:rRNA from 1 species